AGGCCUCAUUCCUCCAAAGACACCCUUCCAUUGGCUACUCCAGCCGUCCUUCCUCACUGUCGCCAUCUGCUGCUGGAGGUCCUGUUGCAACUACAUUAAUGUGGCAUCGCUGGCUGGGUCAGCUUUCACUGUACAUCCCUAAUUGCCUUGAGAAGGUAGUGAAGCCUCCACGCUGCUAUCCGUGUGAGUCCCCAAUCAACCCGUAUGAACUCAAAAGUUGAUGAGCUAUCUCUGCAGCAGCUGUUGGGCUUGUUGUGAGCACAGAUGGCCGAAUCAAAGGGGAAUGGUGACAAGAAGACAGAAGCUAAGAAAGAGCACAACCUGACAGAAGAAAUUAAGGAACCCUUCUUGACUGAGUUAGUUACCAGAUGGACCCAGCUCUAUGAUCGACGUACUGGCGAACAUGUAAAAACAGAAUGGGUUAAAUUGGCAAAGGCAGUGAAUGAAAAGGCUAAAAAAGACGAUAAAAUUUACACAGCAGAAUGGUACAUCCAAAAAUCUGAUAAAAUCACAAUUUCUGAUUUGAGACUAAAUUACUGGAGAAUCAGAGGAUGGCUGCACUUGUUCCCGGGAGUUCAGGCAUUGACCCCAUAUGUCCAAAUCCAGAGCUCUUUCAGGACAUGGCUUCCAAGCUGUCUCGAAGAGUGGCGCUAACUAUCCUUGACCCCAAUUAUAUGUUUCAUGCUAUGACAAUUUCCAAGGGUGCAGAUGAAGACAAGAAAUAAAGUGCAGCUGAUCAGAUCUUCAUGCCUGUCCUCACCUUUGGUGCAGAGGGGCAGAUGAAAGAGAUUCUUACUUUUAAUCUCAGUCUCUUCUGACUUCUCCCUAUUUUAGGGACGGUUCCAUCAGUCACUGUCAUAGAUCACUUAUUGGCCAACUACUGGAUUUCUGAAAUGUUACACUUGCUAAAUCAAAAUAUUUUAAUUCAAAGUUGGUAAAUUCUUUUCAAAAGUCUCUAUCAGAUUAACAUGGGUGUGGAAAAGGGUUACCAAUGUUUAUUUGUAAUUAUUAAAAGUUUAUUGGAAGUGAUUUUAUCAUGAAAAAUUGCUUGCAAUUAAGACAUCUCUCUGUUUGGAAAUUCAAACAGUCUAUAAUUUUCUUGAAACAACUAACUAUUGCUUUACCUUUAACAUAAACUUUGAAAUUUGUAAUGAUUGCA